rnacentral:rRNA from 1 species
AUGAACGCUAGCUACAGGCUUAACACAUGCAAGUCGAGGGGCAGCACAGUGUAGCAAUACACGGGUGGCGACCGGCGCACGGGUGCGUAACGCGUAUCCAACCUUCCCGUUACUCUUGGAUAGCCUUCCGAAAGGAGAUUAAUACAAGAUGGUAUUCAAAUUCCGCAUGUUAUUUGAAUUAAAGAUUUAUCGGUAACGGAUGGGGAUGCGUGACAUUAGCUAGAUGGAGAGGUAACGGCUCCCCAUGGCGACGAUGUCUAGGGGUUCUGAGAGGAAGGUCCCCCACACUGGAACUGAGACACGGUCCAGACUCCUACGGGAGGCAGCAGUGAGGAAUAUUGGACAAUGGAUGGAAAUCUGAUCCAGCCAUGCCGCGUGCAGGACUACAGUCCUAUGGAUUUUAAACUGCUUUUGUAUGGGAGCAAUAAGUGCUACGAGUAGCGCGAUGAGAGUACCAUACGAAUAAGCAUCGGCUAACUCCGUG